rnacentral:tRNA from 1 species
GCGAGAGUAGUUCAGUGGUAGAACGUCUCCUUGCCAAGGAGAAGGCCGCGGGUUCGACUCCCGUCUCUCGCU